rnacentral:rRNA from 1 species
AGCUCCAAUAGCGUAUAUUAAAGUUGUUGCGGUUAAAAAGCUCGUAGUUGGAUUUCUGUCGAACGCUUGCCGGUUCAUACCACGUAUGUAAUCUGGUGUGGCUUUGACAUCCUCUUGAAGAACGCGGGUCUCAUUAAUUUGGGGUGCGUGGUAUUCAAGACUUUUACUUUGAGGAAAUUGGAGUGUUUACGGCAAGCAAGUGCUUUGAACACAUUAGCAUGGAAUAAUAAUAUAGGACCUUGGGGCUAUUUUAUUGGUUUCUAGAACUAAGGUAAUGAUUAAUAGGGUCAGUUGGGGGCAUUCGUAUUAACGUGUCAGAGGUGGAAUUCUUGGAUUACGUUACGACGAACUACUGCGAAAGCAUUUGCCAAGGAUGUUUUCA